rnacentral:rRNA from 1 species
AUUGAACGCUGGCGGCAGGCCUAACACAUGCAAGUCGAGCGGAGCGGCGGACGGGUGAGUAAUGCCUAGGAAUCUGCCUGGCAGUGGGGGAUAACGUCCGGAAACGGGAGCUAAUACCGCAUACUAUCAGAUGAGCCUAGGGCGGAUUAGCUAGUUGGUGGGGUAAAGGCCUACCAAGGCGACGAUCCGUAACUGGUCUGAGAGGAUGAGCAGUCACACUGGAACUGAGACACGGUCCAGACUCCUACGGGAGGCAGCAGUGGGGAAUAUUGGUCAGUGGGCGAAAGCCUGACCCAGCCAUGCCGCGUGUGUGAAGAAGGUCUUCGGAUUGUAAAGCGCUUUAAGUUGGGAGGCGUUACCUACAGAAAAAGCACCGGCUAACUUCGUGCCAGCAGCCGCGGUAAUUC